GAAAAUAGAUUAUCUGUGUAUACAACAGUAUUUCUCAACAAGUUCUUCCUAAUUUUACACGGCUGACACAUUCAAUAAGAUGUAUAGUUACUACCGACAUAUAAGUUUACGUUGGCGCAGACUAUCCAGAAGUUAAGUUCCUCGGCAAGAUCGGUUACUUGAUGCGCCGGCAGGUAUGUUUGUGAAUUCGUGAAAGCAACCGGAUCGUUAGCCAAGAAAGGAUUUAAGGCAUUCAUUGAUCCAAAGACUGCUGCACAAUGACUUGUUGUUGCUUCAACAGACACUAUUACUGGUUCUAAGAAAAAGUACAGGGAACAUUUAUACAAGUAUUAUUUAGAAAGACAGUACUUUCUAGUAACAUUUAUAUUUGAUAGCUAUAAUGAAAUUAAAGGAAAUUAUUGCAUAAAUAAAUAAAAUUGUAAGAAAUUGUGUCCAAUAAAAUUGUUAAGAAUUA